UCCAGACUCCUACGGGAGGCAGCAGUGGGGAAUAUUGCACAAUGGGGGGAACCCUGAUGCAGCGACGCCGCGUGGGUGAAGGAGCGUUUCGGCGCGUAAAGCCCUAUCGGCAGGGAAGAAGGAGGACGGUACCUGACUAAGAAGCCCCGGCUAACUACGUGCCAGCAGCCGCGGUAAUACGUAGGGGGCAAGCGUUAUCCGGAUUUACUGGGUGUAAAGGGGGCGCAGACGGCAGCGCAAGCCAGGAGUGAAAGCCCGGGGCCCAACCCCGGGGCUGCUCUUGGAACUGCGCGGCUGGAGUGCAGGAGGGGCAGGCGGAAUUCCUGGUGUAGCGGUGAAAUGCGUAGAUAUCAGGAGGAACACCGGUGGCGAAGGCGGCCUGCUGGACUGCGACUGACGUUGAGGCCCGAAAGCGUGGGGAGCAAACAGGAUUAGAUACCCUGGUA
rnacentral:rRNA from 1 species